AAGCCAGGCUGCUCAUGCAAAGAAGGAUUUCCUGUGUGUAAGCCCUGUGCUCUGCUAAUUGUCAACACUUCUUGUUUGAAGCUGAGAUACAAGCUUUAUCCACAGCCAAAUGACAGAACUGUGAGAACUUGAAAGUAAUGAGGUGGAGAAAUGUUGAUCACCAGAGACCUCCGAGGGAGAGUUCUCCAUCUGAUUAGAAGAAAUACUUUGGAAUGACAUCUAGGGUGAAAGUCUUGCUGAGAAGGCAUGGAGGUGGUGUUUAGCCAGGACCUAAUGUGUCAGACACUAGAAUCCUUUUCUGCCACAGCCACUCCUGUUGGAGGCUCUCAAAGGAGAUAAAUGCUGGGACGAGGCCAGAAAAACAGCCUUCUUUGUCUCCAGAUCAAUCUCUGGGCUCUGCUGAAUUAUCAAAGACAAUAAAAUAGUGGCAUUUUCACAUGGUUCCAGCUGACAUAUGACAGGCACCAUGCUAGGAACUGGAGGUGGAGAGAUGAAGCAUAGCUUCUGGCCUGAAGAAGCUUCCAGAGUCCAAAGAGAAGGACAGAAGUGAUUGAAAUGCAAGUGAUAUGGGAUGUCUUUCAAAUGUGAUAGAUGAUGGCAUCCCAAGAGGAAAGGACUAAAGAAAAGCUUCCCAGAGAGGUCUCCUGGGAUUUUGUGCAUGGAAUAAGAGAUAUUUUUUUUGGUGGAGUUCUUAAAAUUGGUAAUAAAAGCUAGGGAUAUACAGUGUGGUGACUUUAUACAAUUUCAAUGUAGCAUAAGGUCAAACCUCAAUAAUUAAUCUUUUAUUAUGCAUCAAUCAUCGCUUCUCUGAUGUAACCUUGACUAAUGCACACAGCUAGACUGAGGUCAACCUGUGUGUGAUUGAGUGCCAUCCCACAUUCGAUGACAUAUUAAGUAGCAAAGAAUAAUGUGUUUGCAAAUGUCAACAUUUAUAUUGAUGGCCCUGGGAAAUUCUCAAGGGGACCAUUCCUAGCAUCUCUUUCCCAGGGGGUGUUACCAGUCUUUAUUUUUUCUUCUCUUCUCCUGAUCCAUCACAUUUGGUCCAAAUGCCAGAGAAAACCAGGAGCCUUGAAAGGUUCAGAGAAUGCCAAACUGAGGAGUUUUAGUGACAGAUAAGCCUUCUGACUAUGGAAUGGUCCUCCUGUCUUCUACUCCUCUGAAUCCUGAGUGCUCUGCUGGGCAAGGAAGACAUUGAUGCGUGUUGCAGUGGACUUAGUGUUGCUGCAGGAACUUUAUAAAACAAUGCAUGUCACGUCCUUACCAUACGGUCUAACACAGUGGAAGCAUUCAAUAAUGUUAGCCUGCUUUCGUUAGUUAUUAUGUACAUAUGUGUAUAUGUAUAACACAAACCCAUUAAGGGUACACUGGUUUCAGGCAUUUUUCUAAUGAAUUAAUUCAACUUUACCCUUCGAUACAAAAUAAUGAAACUCUUCAAACAAUAAUAUGCAUAGGUGCUAUUACCAUGUUCUUUAUGACUGUGCUUUAACACAAAAUAUUGAAAAAUUUAUAGCAUUCUCUACUUCAAGUCAACUAGGAUUAAUAGCAUUAACCAUUUAACUGUUAAGGGUACAUCUCCGUGGCACUGAUUCCAUUCAUAUUGUCCUAUCAUUGCUGCCAUUCACUUACAGAACUUUUCAUUUUCUCAAACUGAAACUCUACCUGUUAAACAGUAACGCUCUAUUCCUUCCUGCCUUUACCCCACACCACCCCUGGCAGCUACCAUUCUUUCUGUCUGUAUGAGUUCAUUUAUUUUAGAACCUCACACAUCCAGAAUUGUACAAUAUGUGUUCUUACGUAACUGCCUUAUUUUAUAUCAUAGUUCUUUCUUUCUUUCUUUCUUUCUUUCUUUCUUUCUUUCUUUCUUUCUUUCUUUCAAGGCAGGUUUUGUUCUGUUGCUCAGGCUGUCCUUGAACUUGUGAUCCAUUUCAGCCUCUUAAGUAGCUGAACUUGGCUUUUACCCUACCGUGUUGGGGACCGAACCUGGCGCCUCGUGCAUGCCAGGCAAGCACUUCACCACUGAGCCCCAUCCCCAGCCCUCAUUUAACAUAAUUUAGAGACUUGUUGUGACAUGUAUCAGAGUCUUGUUUUUUAAUACUGAAUAAUGUCACUAUGCUCCAUUUUAGUGAUCAUUGCAUUUGCUGAUGGGCACUUGAAUGCCUGUCUUUUAUCUCUUUUGAAUAAAGCCACUAUGAAUGCAGCUGUACACAUA